UUCCGUCAGCCAAGUUGGAUAGAGUUAACGGAAUGACUCAAUAACACAAAUUUGACAAGUUUUAAAACUCGAUUGCACUUUUUGCAACUUUUAGGACUUAAUUACAUUUUCGUGAUAAAUUUUAAGAUUUUUAGUGCACUUAUCCCAAUUAUGUUUAAAGAAAGCAACUACUUGCCCCUAAAUUAACUUCAUUGAAAGAUUGAUAUGAUCAACGAACCGUAGAUUUUGAUUAUCCGUUUCCUUUUCCUCUCAUGACGGUGCAGCUACCACAUGCCUGGGUUCUGCCUGGACAGCCUUUUAUUUUGUCACUAGAACAUGUGAAUUUGCUUCAUUUGUGUUGGGAAUAAAUUAAUGCUUAGACUUUCUACCCUUUCAUAUGUUGUUGUGAUGUUCAGCAUCGUUCUAUUUUAAUUUCAUGCAUUAUACAAAAUAAAUUGCCGAAGGUCCGCAUAAAAUACAAGGCAUCGGUGCUGGCUUCAUCCCUGGAGUGCUUGAUGUGAAAUUACUUGAUGAAGUUGUUCAAGUAUCAAGUGAAGAAGCUAUUGAAACUGCCAAGCUUCUUGCAGUGAAGGAGGGUUUGCUGGUUGGAAUAUCGUCGGGUGCAGCUGCUGCAGCUGCAAUUAAUAUUGCGAAGAGGCCAGAAAAUUCUGGAAAGCUCAUUGUGGUGGUCUUCCCGAGCUUUGGAGAGCGUUAUUUGUCCACUGUGCUGUUUCAAUCCGAGAAGCAGGAGGCAGAGAAUAUGUUCUAUGAACCUUGACUAAUUUCCUCAAUGUGUUGACAUACUUUGAUUUGGUUUAAUGGACACAUCAAGAAGAAAUUCCAGCCGGCACAUUCUGAUGAAGAAUUGUCCUCUGUGACAAGUACACAAUAACAAGCUACGGGGACAUGUAUGUUUCUUUUUGUUUCCCCGCUUCAGUUUUUUUUCUUUCCUUGUGCAAAUAAAACUGAUCAGGCUGGCCGCGGUGUGUAAUGUUUGUACUGUUCUCUUCCGACCAUGUAAACUUUCGUGUGAACUUUCAUAAUCAUCUUGUAAGUAUGAUCUUCUGCGUUCGGUGAAGGGGAAAGGUGACGAUUCAGAGUUCGGAUUUA